GAGGAAAAGAAACCAACAGGGAUUGCCCCAGUAAUGGCGAAUGAAGCGGCAAGAGCCCAAAUUUGAAAUCGGGCAACCGAGUUGUAAUUUGGAGACGGGACACUAGAGAGGAGGAAGGCGAUUAAGUGCCUUGGAACAGGCUGCCGUAGAGGGUGAGAGCCCCGUGAAUCGCUGGAGACCGAUCAAUUAGUGCCCGCCGAAGAGUCGAGUUGUUUGGGAAUGCAGCUCUAAGUGGGUGGUAUAUUCCAUCUAAGGCUAAAUAUUAGCGAGAGACCGAUAGCAAACAAGUACAGUGAUGGAAAGAUGAAAAGAACUUUGGAAAGAGAGUGAAAUAGUACGUGAAAUUGUUGAAAGGGAAGGGUAUUUGAUCCGACAUGGUGUUUAGCAGCGGCCCGUUCCUCGUGGAUGGGUGCACCUGGUUUACACUGGGCCAGCAUCGGUUCUGGGAGCCAUAUACGGGGUUCGUGAAUGUGGCCCUUCGAUUCUGUCGGAGGGUGUUAUAGCGCGGACAUCUUGUGGCUAGCCGGGACCGGGGACUGCGGUGACUUGUCACCAAGGAUGCUGGCAG
rnacentral:rRNA from 1 species